AAAUUGAAGAGUUUGAUCAUGGCUCAGAUUGAACGCUGGCGGCAGGCCUAACACAUGCAAGUCGAACGGUAACAGGAAGCAGCUUGCUGCUUUGCUGACGAGUGGCGGACGGGUGAGUAAUGUCUGGGAAACUGCCUGAUGGAGGGGGAUAACUACUGGAAACGGUAGCUAAUACCGCAUAACGUCGCAAGACCAAAGAGGGGGACCUUCGGGCCUCUUGCCAUCGGAUGUGCCCAGAUGGGAUUAGCUAGUAGGUGGGGUAAAGGCUCACCUAGGCGACGAUCCCUAGCUGGUCUGAGAGGAUGACCAGCCACACUGGAACUGAGACACGGUCCAGACUCCUACGGGAGGCAGCAGUGGGGAAUAUUGCACAAUGGGCGCAAGCCUGAUGCAGCCAUGCCGCGUGUAUGAAGAAGGCCUUCGGGUUGUAAAGUACUUUCAGCGGGGAGGAAGGGAGUAAAGUUAAUACCUUUGCUCAUUGACGUUACCCGCAGAAGAAGCACCGGCUAACUCCGUGCCAGCAGCCGCGGUAAUACGGAGGGUGCAAGCGUUAAUCGGAAUUACUGGGCGUAAAGCGCACGCAGGCGGUUUGUUAAGUCAGAUGUGAAAUCCCCGGGCUCAACCUGGGAACUGCAUCUGAUACUGGCAAGCUUGAGUCUCGUAGAGGGGGGUAGAAUUCCAGGUGUAGCGGUGAAAUGCGUAGAGAUCUGGAGGAAUACCGGUGGCGAAGGCGGCCCCCUGGACGAAGACUGACGCUCAGGUGCGAAAGCGUGGGGAGCAAACAGGAUUAGAUACCCUGGUAGUCCACGCCGUAAACGAUGUCGACUUGGAGGUUGUGCCCUUGAGGCGUGGCUUCCGGAGCUAACGCGUUAAGUCGACCGCCUGGGGAGUACGGCCGCAAGGUUAAAACUCAAAUGAAUUGACGGGGGCCCGCACAAGCGGUGGAGCAUGUGGUUUAAUUCGAUGCAACGCGAAGAACCUUACCUGGUCUUGACAUCCACGGAAGUUUUCAGAGAUGAGAAUGUGCCUUCGGGAACCGUGAGACAGGUGCUGCAUGGCUGUCGUCAGCUCGUGUUGUGAAAUGUUGGGUUAAGUCCCGCAACGAGCGCAACCCUUAUCCUUUGUUGCCAGCGGUCCGGCCGGGAACUCAAAGGAGACUGCCAGUGAUAAACUGGAGGAAGGUGGGGAUGACGUCAAGUCAUCAUGGCC
rnacentral:rRNA from 1 species